ensembl:snRNA U6 U6 spliceosomal RNA
GUGUUCGCUUCAACAGCACAUAUACUAAAACUGGAAGAAUACAGAGAAGAUUAGCAUGGCCCCUGUGCAAGGAUGAAAUGCAAAUUCUUGAAGGCUUUAUACAUAUGU